UGGGGAAUUUUGGACAAUGGGGGAAACCCUGAUCCAGCCAUCCCGCGUGUGCGAUGAAGGCCUUCGGGUUGUAAAGCACUUUUGGCAGGAAAGAAACGUCAUGGGUUAAUACCCCGUGAAACUGACGGUACCUGCAGAAUAAGCACCGGCUAACUACGUGCCAGCAGCCGCGGUAAUACGUAGGGUGCAAGCGUUAAUCGGAAUUACUGGGCGUAAAGCGUGCGCAGGCGGUUCGGAAAGAAAGAUGUGAAAUCCCAGAGCUCAACUUUGGAACUGCAUUUUUAACUACCGGGCUAGAGUGUGUCAGAGGGAGGUGGAAUUCCGCGUGUAGCAGUGAAAUGCGUAGAUAUGCGGAGGAACACCGAUGGCGAAGGCAGCCUCCUGGGAUAACACUGACGCUCAUGCACGAAAGCGUGGGGACCAAACAGG
rnacentral:rRNA from 1 species